rnacentral:ncRNA from 1 species
GUACCAAAUAAUUAAUGCUCUGUAAUCAUUUAAAAGUAUUUUGAACGGACCUCUGUUUGACACGUCUGAAUAACUAAAAAAACAAAAAUUUGCCACCUAAGUGGCUUUUUUU